UACGUAGGUGGCAAGCGUUGUCCGGAAUUAUUGGGCGUAAAGCGCGCUCAGGCGGUCCUUUAAGUCCGAUGUGAAAGCCCACGGCUCAACCGUGGAGGGUCAUUGGAAACUGGGGGACUUGAGUGCAGGAGAGAAGAGUGGAAUUCCACGUGUAGCGGUGAAAUGCGUAGAGAUGUGGAGGAACACCAGUGGCGAAGGCGACUCUUUGGCCUGUAACUGACGCUGAGGCGCGAAAGCGUGGGGAGCAAACAGG
rnacentral:rRNA from 1 species